GACGAACGCUGGCGGCGUGCUUAACACAUGCAAGUCGUACGGUAAGGCCCUUUCGGGGGUACACGAGUGGCGAACGGGUGAGUAACACGUGAGUAACCUGCCCACAACUUUGGGAUAACGCUAGGAAACUGGUGCUAAUACUGGAUAUGUGCUCCUGCUGCAUGGUGGGGGUUGGAAAGCUCCGGCGGUUGUGGAUGGACUCGCGGCCUAUCAGCUUGUUGGUGGAGUAGUGGCCUACCAAGGCGGCGACGGGUAGCCGGCCUGAGAGGGUGACCGGCCACAUUGGGACUGAGAUACGGCCCAGACUCCUACGGGAGGCAGCAGUGGGGAAUAUUGCACAAUGGGCGCAAGCCUGAUGCAGCAACGCCGCGUGCGGGAUGACGGCCUUCGGGUUGUAAACCGCUUUCAGCAGGGACGAAGCUUUUUGUGACGGUACCUGCAGAAGAAGCACCGGCUAACUACGUG
rnacentral:rRNA from 1 species